rnacentral:rRNA from 1 species
GGGUUGUGAGGUUAAGCGACUAAGCGUACACGGUGGAUGCCCUGGCAGUCAGAGGCGAUGAAGGACGUGCUAAUCUGCGAUAAGCGCCGGUAAGGUGAUAUGAACCGUUAUAACCGGCGAUUUCCGAAUGGGGAAACCCAGUGUGACUCGUCACACUAUCAUUAACUGAAUCCAUAGGUUAAUGAGGCGAACCGGGGGAACUGAAACAUCUAAGUACCCCGAGGAAAAGAAAUCAACCGAGAUUCCCCCAGUAGCGGCGAGCGAACGGGGAGGAGCCCAGAGCCUGAAUCAGCAUGUGUGUUAGUGGAAGCGUCUGGAAAGGCGCGCGAUACAGGGUGACAGCCCCGUACACAAAAGCGCAUGUGCUGUGAGCUCGAUGAGUAGGGCGGGACACGUGGUAUCCUGUCUGAAUAUGGGGGGACCAUCCUCCAAGGCUAAAUACUCCUGACUGACCGAUAGUGAACCAGUACCGUGAGGGAAAGGCGAAAAGAACCCCGGCGAGGGGAGUGAAAAAGAACCUGAAACCGUGUACGUACAAGCAGUGGGAGCACAGGUUUACCUGUGUGACUGCGUACCUUUUGUAUAAUGGGUCAGCGACUUAUAUUCUGUAGCAAGGUUAACCGAAUAGGGGAGCCGGAGGGAAACCGAGUCUUAAUUGGGCGUUAAGUUGCAGGGUAUAGACCCGAAACCCGGUGAUCUAGCCAUGGGCAGGUUGAAGGUUGGGUAACACUAACUGGAGGACCGAACCGACUAAUGUUGAAAAAUUAGCGGAUGACCUGUGGCUGGGGGUGAAAGGCCAAUCAAACCGGGAGAUAGCUGGUUCUCCCCGAAAGCUAUUUAGGUAGCGCCUCGUGAAUUCAUCUCCGGGGGUAGAGCACUGUUUCGGCUAGGGGGCCAUCCCGGCUUACCAACCCGAUGCAAACUGCGAAUACCGGAGAAUGUUAUCACGGGAGACACACGGCGGGUGCUAACGUCCGUCGUGAAGAGGGAAACAACCCAGACCGCCAGCUAAGGUCCCAAAGUCAUGGUUAAGUGGGAAACGAUGUGGGAAGGCCCAGACAGCCAGGAUGUUGGCUUAGAAGCAGCCAUCAUUUAAAGAAAGCGUAAUAGCUCACUGGUCGAGUCGGCCUGCGCGGAAGAUGUAACGGGGCUAAACCAUGCACCGAAGCUGCGGCAGCGACACUGUGUGUUGUUGGGUAGGGGAGCGUUCUGUAAGCCUGUGAAGGUGUGUCGUGAGGCAUGCUGGAGGUAUCAGAAGUGCGAAUGCUGACAUAAGUAACGAUAAAGCGGGUGAAAAGCCCGCUCGCCGGAAGACCAAGGGUUCCUGUCCAACGUUAAUCGGGGCAGGGUGAGUCGACCCCUAAGGCGAGGCCGAAAGGCGUAGUCGAUGGGAAACGGGUUAAUAUUCCCGUACUUGGUGUUACUGCGAAGGGGGGACGGAGAAGGCUAUGUUGGCCGGGCGACGGUUGUCCCGGUUUAAGCGUGUAGGCUGGUUUUCCAGGCAAAUCCGGUUCACUGUAAAACUGAGGCGUGACGACGAGGCACUACGGUGCUGAAGCAACAAAUGCCCUGCUUCCAGGAAAAGCCUCUAAGCAUCAGGUAACAUCAAAUCGUACCCCAAACCGACACAGGUGGUCAGGUAGAGAAUACCAAGGCGCUUGAGAGAACUCGGGUGAAGGAACUAGGCAAAAUGGUGCCGUAACUUCGGGAGAAGGCACGCUGACACGUAGGUGAAGUGAUUUACUCAUGGAGCUGAAGUCAGUCGAAGAUACCAGCUGGCUGCAACUGUUUAUUAAAAACACAGCACUGUGCAAACACGAAAGUGGACGUAUACGGUGUGACGCCUGCCCGGUGCCGGAAGGUUAAUUGAUGGGGUCAGCGCAAGCGAAGCUCCUGAUCGAAGCCCCGGUAAACGGCGGCCGUAACUAUAACGGUCCUAAGGUAGCGAAAUUCCUUGUCGGGUAAGUUCCGACCUGCACGAAUGGCGUAAUGAUGGCCAGGCUGUCUCCACCCGAGACUCAGUGAAAUUGAACUCGCUGUGAAGAUGCAGUGUACCCGCGGCAAGACGGAAAGACCCCGUGAACCUUUACUAUAGCUUGACACUGAACAUUGAGCCUUGAUGUGUAGGAUAGGUGGGAGGCUUUGAAGUGUGGACGCCAGUCUGCAUGGAGCCGACCUUGAAAUACCACCCUUUAAUGUUUGAUGUUCUAACGUGGACCCGUAAUCCGGGUUGCGGACAGUGUCUGGUGGGUAGUUUGACUGGGGCGGUCUCCUCCUAAAGAGUAACGGAGGAGCACGAAGGUUGGCUAAUCCUGGUCGGACAUCAGGAGGUUAGUGCAAUGGCAUAAGCCAGCUUGACUGCGAGCGUGACGGCGCGAGCAGGUGCGAAAGCAGGUCAUAGUGAUCCGGUGGUUCUGAAUGGAAGGGCCAUCGCUCAACGGAUAAAAGGUACUCCGGGGAUAACAGGCUGAUACCGCCCAAGAGUUCAUAUCGACGGCGGUGUUUGGCACCUCGAUGUCGGCUCAUCACAUCCUGGGGCUGAAGUAGGUCCCAAGGGUAUGGCUGUUCGCCAUUUAAAGUGGUACGCGAGCUGGGUUUAGAACGUCGUGAGACAGUUCGGUCCCUAUCUGCCGUGGGCGCUGGAGAACUGAGGGGGGCUGCUCCUAGUACGAGAGGACCGGAGUGGACGCAUCACUGGUGUUCGGGUUGUCAUGCCAAUGGCACUGCCCGGUAGCUAAAUGCGGAAGAGAUAAGUGCUGAAAGCAUCUAAGCACGAAACUUGCCCCGAGAUGAGUUCUCCCUGAGACUUAGAGUCUCCUGAAGGAACGUUGAAGACGACGACGUUGAUAGGCCGGGUGUGUAAGCGCAGCGAUGCGUUGAGCUAACCGGUACUAAUGAACCGUGAGGCUUAACCUUACAACGCCAAAG